AUACAGAUUACGAGUCCCAAAUAGGACGAAACAUGCGUCCUGGAU
rnacentral:hammerhead_ribozyme from 1 species